AGUUGCAGGGUAUAGACCCGAAACCCGGUGAUCUAGCCAUGGGCAGGUUGAAGGUUGGGUAACACUAACUGGAGGACCGAACCGACUAAUGUUGAAAAAUUAGCGGAUGACUUGUGGCUGGGGGUGAAAGGCCAAUCAAACCGGGAGAUAGCUGGUUCUCCCCGAAAGCUAUUUAGGUAGCGCCUCGUGAAUUCAUCUCCGGGGGUAGAGCACUGUUUCGGCAAGGGGGUCAUCCCGACUUACCAACCCGAUGCAAACUGCGAAUACCGGAGAAUGUUAUCACGGGAGACACACGGCGGGUGCUAACGUCCGUCGUGAAGAGGGAAACAACCCAGACCGCCAGCUAAGGUCCCAAAGUCAUGGUUAAGUGGGAAACGAUGUGGGAAGGCCCAGACAGCCAGGAUGUUGGCUUAGAAGCAGCCAUCAUUUAAAGAAAGCGUAAUAGCUCACUGGUCGAGUCGGCCUGCGCGGAAGAUGUAACGGGGCUAAACCAUGCACCGAAGCUGCGGCAGCGACACUAUGUGUUGUUGGGUAGGGGAGCGUUCUGUAAGCCUGUGAAGGUGUGCUGUGAGGCAUGCUGGAGGUAUCAGAAGUGCGAAUGCUGACAUAAGUAACGAUAAAGCGGGUGAAAAGCCCGCUCGCCGGAAGACCAAGGGUUCCUGUCCAACGUUAAUCGGGGCAGGGUGAGUCGACCCCUAAGGCGAGGCCGAAAGGCGUAGUCGAUGGGAAACAGGUUAAUAUUCCUGUACUUGGUGUUACUGCGAAGGGGGGACGGAGAAGGCUAUGUUGGCCGGGCGACGGUUGUCCCGGUUUAAGCGUGUAGGCUGGUUUUCCAGGCAAAUCCGGAAAAUCAAGGCUGAGGCGUGAUGACGAGGCACUACGGUGCUGAAGCAACAAAUGCCCUGCUUCCAGGAAAAGCCUCUAAGCAUCAGGUAACAUCAAAUCGUACCCCAAACCGACACAGGUGGUCAGGUAGAGAAUACCAAGGCGCUUGAGAGAACUCGGGUGAAGGAACUAGGCAAAAUGGUGCCGUAACUUCGGGAGAA
rnacentral:rRNA from 1 species